CCCGAUCAUUUGUUGCCUCGCCGUCGACCUAACCAUUUGCUGCGUCACUGUCGCACUCCUCUGCCGCAACCAAUCAUUUUUGAAGCAAACGUGAUUGGAGAAUCGUCUAAGGUGAAGAGUACGGUGACCUUCGACGAGUGAUCAAGCAGACCUCGGCCAGACAUUCCUCAUUCAUCCAU